AAUCUCAAUUAACUCCUAGCAUGGUACUCAUCUCUCCCCCUCCCCCUCCCCCUCCCCCUCCCUCUCUCACACACACACACAGCUAUUAUAUCCCGGGCAUUGUUCUCUCUCUCUCGCUCCUUCUCUCUCCCCCCUCCCUCUCUUUCUCACACACGCACACAACUAUUAUAUCCUGCACAUUGUGUUUGAUAUGCGAUCUGUGUAAUUUAUCUAAGCAAUGUUAAUAUUGUUUUUUUCCCUUAAUUUUCUUGGUUUAUAUUGUACUGAUCAAAAUUUUAGACUAUGAAAACGUAGUUUUAUAAUUCAUCCAAGUCUAGAAUUGUAAUUUGCGAUUUUGCCCAUGAUUAUUAGACAGUGGUGGAGGGGGAAAUUUUAGUUGUUGGGACUAAUAUAUCAUUAUGAUGUGAAAUGAGGUGAUAAUGUACAAGAUGAAGUAGGAAAGGGAGAUAAUACAUUUGUAGAGCGAAUGAGUGCGAGAAACAUUUCAUGUGUACUUGUAAGAACUAAGAUGGGAGGAAUGUAUUCAGGUAUGCAGAAUUUGUGCCCUGCAUAUCAUGCUACAUGCUUUAAAUUAGAUAAGGUUUCAAGUAACCAAGCAUUAUCUUCUAGCGUUUAUAUAAUAUUCAAAGGAGACCAGCUGCUUAGUAUCCUUAACUACCUCUUUUGAAACAACAUAUGGUUCCACAAGAUUUUCCUCUCCCUAAUUUCUUUGGUUUUGCGUAACUUGAAUUUGAGGGGUAUAACCUUUGACCUCUCCUUAUUACUUGUCAAGGUAGCAUGUCAGAAAUUAUCUGUAGAAUCAUAGAAACUCUAUAUUUGACUUUGGUUCUUGUAACUCUGUGUUUUUAAUAAUAAAAACUAUUAAAAUGUCAUAUUCAUUUCUACAGGUUCCCUUCAUGGAAUACCUUACGGAUUGAAAGACCUAAUUGUGGUGCCUCAAUUCAAAACAACCUGGGGUUCAACAUCAUAUAAAGAUCAAGUUUUGGAGUAGAAGCUUGGGUUUACAAUAGGUUGGGUACUGCUGGAGCAGUCCUUCUUGCGAAGUCACAGGAACACCGACAUAUAAUGGCAUUUGGUUUUGGGGUAGGACAAGAAAUCCGUGGAAUAUUGAGGAAUACUCAUACGGUUUGUCAGCUGGACCUGCUUCAUGCACCUCCGCGGGUCUACUUUUGUUGUUUAGUCAUCUCAAAGUACAGGAAUCGUCAAGUUAUCAACUAAAAUUGUAUGUUCAUCAAGUUAUAUUCCAAUCUCUAGAUAUGUAUUUACUAAGUGAAUUUUGUGCAGGAAUGGUUUCGUUUGCAAUUGGUUCAGAGACUGCUGAUGUACCCGGCUGCUCAUUGUGGAGUGACUGCACUGCGUCCACCUUUUGGGACUGUGGGUCGAACUGGUGUAAAUGAGCGUGUCUGACAGCUUGGUAGUGUAGAAACACUUAAUCUUGCUCAGUUUACUUUCCCCUUCUCUUAUUGAACCCUGUGAGAACUGAGCAUAUCUUUGAUUUUGAAAAAAUAAAAUUGGACCAUUCUGUAGAAGUGCAGCAGAUUUUGGAAUUAUCCUUGAUGAUCUUUCUUCUUUGAUGAUCGUUCAUGGUAGAUUUAACAAAGCUAAUUGUUGAAUCUCGAGGAUGCUAGCAUGGAGGUUGUUCAAGUUCGUGUUAAAGUGAUUCCUUUUAAUUUGAAUUAUCCAUUGGGUUCUGUGCAAGGUAUCUUAAACUACACAAUGGAUGUCUGAUAUGUUGGCUCACUUUGACAAGUGCCAUUUUUAAGUACUUUGUGCUAUAUACACUGGAGUUAUUUUACACUAUUAACUUUAAUAUUCUUGUUAGGGAUCAGCCUCGGUUGUUUGGCCUAUGGUGCAAAUUUUCUAAGCCUUGCUAAUUUUUUUAUUAUAGAUUGGUGCAAAGAAAUAUGGUCAUUAAUAUUGUAAUUUUUUGAAUUUACAUAUGCUCACAAGCAGAGAACAUAUGAGCGUUAUACUCCGUAUAUCUGUAAGUAAACUGCACAAGAGUGAGUAUUAGAUACACCAAUGGAAAUGAGAAUGGUGCAUCUGGAAAAAGAAAUGGGGCAUUAAGUUCCACGGUUUCUUCGGUUUCGUAUGUUGUACUUCCUGAAGUCAUCGUUCUUAACUACUGCCAGCUUGACCUCGCCAUUCUGACCAUCAUUAUUAAUUGCUAGAUUUGCUCUCCAU